GUGGGGAAUCUUGCGCAAUGGGCGAAAGCCUGACGCAGCCAUGCCGCGUGAAUGAUGAAGGUCUUAGGAUUGUAAAAUUCUUUCACCGGGGACGAUAAUGACGGUACCCGGAGAAGAAGCUCCGGCUAACUUCGUGCCAGCAGCCGCGGUAAUACGAAGGGGGCUAGCGUUGCUCGGAAUUACUGGGCGUAAAGGGCGCGUAGGCGGACAGCUUAGUCAGAGGUGAAAGCCCAGAGCUCAACCUUGGAAUUGCCUUUGAUACUGGCUGUCUUGAGUUUGGGAGAGGUGAGUGGAACUCCGAGUGUAGAGAUGAAAUUCGUAGAUAUUCGGAAGAACACCAGUGGCGAAGGCGACUCACUGGCCCAAUACUGACGCUGAGGCGCGAAAGCGUGGGGAGCAAACAGGAUUAGAUACCCUUGUAGUCC
rnacentral:rRNA from 1 species